UACAGAGGUCCCAAGCGUUGUUCGGAUUCAUUGGGCGUAAAGGGUGCGUAGGCGGCGCGGUAAGUCGGGAUGUGAAAUCUCGGAGCUUAACUUCGAAACUGCAUUCGAUACUGCCGUGCUUGAGGACUGGAGAGGAGACUGGAAUUUACGGUGUAGCGGUGAAAUGCGUAGAUAUCGUAAGGAAGACCAGUGGCGAAGGCGGGUCUCUGGACAGUUCCUGACGCUGAGGCACGAAGGUCAGGGGAGCAAACGGG
rnacentral:rRNA from 1 species